rnacentral:lncRNA from 1 species
GAGACAAAUCAACUAAUUUGCUCAUCAAGUAUUUUCUGAAAAGGUGGAUUGCUGCUUCAAAGGACCUGGACCCAGAGGCCCUGUCCAUGAAUGUUUCUUGCUUGGUUCCGAGGCCACCAAACAUACUGGCUGAGCCUUCUGUAUUCACCCUGGCCUAUCAAUGCCAUCUAUGAGAGCAGCCACACUGAGAGAGCAGCAGCAUGGAGCCUACUCAAGGGGAUGGGAUCUUUUAUGAAGAAAUGGAUUGGGAAGAAAAACAUAAGAUAAGGUUGGAACCUCUUCUGGUGCAAGAAGGUCCUAAAUAUUACUGAGGAUCUCUCAUCUUCUAGGUGAAGCUCACAAAAUUGCCCUGGAGGUUGCUGCCUUCCUGGAAGCCAGAGUGAAAAAAAAAAAGAGGACAUGCAGUUGCACAUGGGAGGAUUUUGUGGGCCAUGGUUAUCAGGGCACAAUCCCUUAGCUCACCUUUCUCUGGUGAGAAAACACUUCCAGUGCCACACCUCAGUCUCCUCCCUCUGGUGAAAAAAACACUUCCAGUGCCACACCUCAGCCUCCUUCCUCUGGUGAAAAAACAGUUCCAGUGCCAUACCUCAGCCUUUCCUCUGGUAAAAAACACUUCCAGUGCCACACCUCAGCCUCCCUCCUCUGGUGAAAAAACACUUCCAGUGCUACACCUCAGCCUCCUUCCUCUGGUGAAAAAAUACUUCCAGAGCCACACCUUACCCUCCUUCCUCUGGUGAGAAACUACUUCCAGUGCCACACCUCAGCCUCCUUCCUCUGGUGACAAAACACUUCCAGUGCCACAACUCAGCCUCCUUCGACUGGUGAGAAAACACUUCCAGUGCCACACCUCAGCCUCCUUCCUCUGCUGAGAAAACACUUCCAGUGCCACAGCUCAGCCUCCUUCCUCUGGUCACAAAACACUUCCAGUACUACACAUCACUGCUGGAGAACUGGAGAGUGGAGUCUUCCAGCCCAAGAAGAAAGAAAUAUAGGAUUUUGUCAAGUACCAGAAGUUUCUGCCACACUCAGUGGGCAUUCUUUGAGUUAGUUUUUUUAGUAUAUUUCACUAAAAACUGUGAGAGAGGAACCCUUAAUAUAGGUCCUGCAAAAAACAAGUAUUCAAUAAAUCCUGUUGAAUCAAUAAAUGAAUCACCUCUUCCAAAA